rnacentral:misc_RNA from 1 species
GAUGAAGAACGUAGCAAAAUGCGAUAAGUAAUGUGAAUUGCAGAAUUCAGUGAAUCAUCGAAUCUUUGAACGCACAUUGCGCCCGCUGGUAUUCCGGCGGGCAUGCCUGUUCGAGCGUCAUUUCAACCCUCAAGCCCCCGGGUUUGGUGUUGGGGAUCGGCUCUGCCCUUCUGGGCGGUGCCGCCCCCGAAAUACAUUGGCGGUCUCGCUGCAGCCUCCAUUGCGUAGUAGCUAACACCUCGCAACUGGAACGCGGCGCGGCCAUGCCUAAAACCCCAACUUCUGAAUGUUGACCUCGGAUCAGGUAGGAAUACCCGCUGAACUUAAGCAUAUCAAUAAGCGGAGGA